rnacentral:tRNA from 1 species
GAAGGCCCAUAGCUCAACGGUAGAGCAUUUGCUUUGUAUGCAGAAAGUUCCAGGGUUCUUUCCCUGGCGUCUUCA